CUCUUCUCUCCCCCUCUUUUCUUCGUUUCCCCUUCCAGUUUCUCUCUCCUGUGGAGUAUACGUAAUGGAGAUUUUGCACCCGAUUCGAACGUUUUCAGCGUUCGUAUCGUCUCCAUCUACCACCCCUUCCUUGGUCGACUCCUGUAUUUCCGAAACUCUAUCCCUUCCGCGCCCCUACCCUCCUCGUCGGCUGGCGCCCCAACUUCGCCUCCCACCAGGACAACCCCGCCGCCACCCUCCAACUCUGCGUCGACUCAUCUACUCCCCCACAAUCCCUUCCUCCCUGAAUCGACUUUCUCGCAAACCCCGCCCACACCUUCGUCGACGUGGGCAUCCCCAAAGACGUGGAGAACCUUACGGGUUACUACGGUCUGACGGUGGCGAAUGCCGUUGAUUUGACAGUGCCGGCAUCGCAGGCUUACGGCGCGAGGGAGUUGAGGAAUGCCAGGUUGGCGGUUCUUGCGAGGCAGGUGUUGGGAGCGGAUGUUGUGAAGCCGAGGAGGGUUACGAUGAGUGCUGCAUGAUCAAAUUCAAUCUCUCUUUCCUUUGAGAAGGCACUGAAGGCAUAUUCAAACAGCAAUUCAGCUUUUCAUUCACCGAUUUGGAUAUCCUCCACAAUUCCAGAUGGCUGGAUGUGGGAGUUUCCUAGCCACCUUGGUUCAUCCUUUCAGGAUGUUCAUCUUGUUAAGCGGCAAAGUACCUGUGAACUUGAGGGUGAUACUACUGUUGAGGGUUUGUUUGGCUUCACAAAUUCGCCAUUGAGAUUUUUACAUUUGUACCUUCAUGGAUUCCCAGCUGAAAUGACAUAUCAUGUGGUCUUGCAGAUAUACUUAACCAGCAAUUCAAAAUGUACUCAUCUCUCUCUCAAAUCCAUUCAGACGUGAAAAUGGUCCAGUUGCUGAUUCCAAUUUGGGAGGCGUGCAUGUCUCUUGUAUUUGCUGUUCUGUCCAUAGUUUAGUAUGUGGGUCAACUUUUCUUUUCUUGUAAUAGGAGGAAUAUGAAAGGACUGGGAUGCAUGAUGCGGCAUUUCCUUUUUUAGCAGCUUUUAUUUCUUUUUCGUUUUUAGUGGUUGUAGGUUUCUUACUUGUGCCUCUCAAUGUCCAACAAAGCCUUGUAUGACAACUACCUGAGUUCAGGUCAUGGAGAAGGAAGCAUUGAGGCUUCUAAGUUGGCUUGCCUCCUCUCAGGCUGCAGAAGAUAUAAACUCCGACGAUGAGCUUGCACGUGAAACCAUUUUGACUCCCUUGUUGCAGAUAAGGUGCUGGAAAAAGCUAACUUGGAUUUUUAGAGUGAAUCCCAACAGGAGUGUCAAGAUAUUCUUGAUUCUGUUGACCAUUCAAAUAAUUUUGAAGACUUGAAGGGGGGAUCUUCUUCUGCUGAUCAUAAUUACUGUCUACAACAACCUUCAUGGGAGAACACAAUUCCCCAAGUGGAUGGGUCCGCUGAUGAUCAAAUCUCAAUUCCUACUGCUGGUAAGCCAUCGAAAGUAGAGAUGAGCAAUGAAAUUGAGCAUUCUCCUCAGGACAAUGAACAGGAAGAAAUUGGCUCAAGCUUUAGCCAUAAGAGCAAGAAAAGAAAGCCAUUAUGGGGUUCUUUACCCUUUUCCUUGACUCAAAAGGUUAGAGAUGACCUUGAACCUUUUAGUAGAUGCUGCACAGAAACUGUAGAAGGUAAGUUUACAGGUUCUGGAUCUGGAAAUCAGGCGGACAGAGAUAUGUAUGACGCCCAGGAUGAAAGUAAACAAGUUGGAUGCUCUGUGCGUGACUUGAUGAGGAGAAAACGAAGGGUCGAAAAGGCUUCUUUGGAGGAGGAACAACACUAGUUACACUACCCAAAACCCUUAGAGGAUCACACGAUACAGAAUUAUGGGAAGGAUGAGAGGCCUCAGGAGUUUGCCAACUCUGAGCUUUCUCCAAGAACGGAGGUAACCAGAGCUCAUGAUGUUAGACAUAGCUAUCACAUUGAUGACGUUACCGCUCAAGCAUGUGGUGGUUCUACAGACAUUACCACCUCAUUUCCUAGUAAUCCAUCAAUGUUUUUUACUUCUGCAAAUCAAAAUUCGGAUAUUUCUGUAGCCUGUUGUGAGAAUGAUAGUAUGGGAGACUCGGAAUGUGUUGAUUUUAAGGAACUCAUAACUUCUGAGGCAUGCGUUGGACAAACCAUAUUUGUGAGUUCAGAUGCAGAUUUUUGAUACUGAUGACAACCUAUGUGAUAAUGAGAGAUUGAAGCUAGGAGACCGUACUGGUAAAAGUAGUUUGUCAGCUGCUUCUUUCCAAAAGGAAAUUUUAGGUGUAGAUGAUUGUGUAUAUAAGAAUGCCUAGGAUGGAAAAACCUCGAUACCCAAGCAAUCUAAAAAGCCAUCUACAAUCAUUGGGGUCAUGAAGCCCACAUCUGACUCAACCAUUUUACAGUUUGAGAAUUGUGGUAGAGGACAGCAUGGACAAGCUACUGACUUAUCUGUGCCUAUCAGUUCGGUUUCCUCUACUAUUGACUUUGGAACCAAUCCAAUGGAACUCGUCGGCAUGACAUUUCAUAGGAACCCCCCAUGGUGGACCUUAAUAUUAUCCAAGGCAUUUCGCUUGAGGGAGGGGGAAGUUGCGGAGGAAUAUCAGGUUGCCUGCCUUAUCUUUAAAUUAUUUUUCUACUGCUUUUAUCUUAUGUUUCAGCAAUAAAUCUCAUCCAUAUAAUCUUAUUAUAGCAGUUGAAACAGCUAUGUCCGUCCAACCUGGAAUCCCACUCACUACAUGUGGACAUCAAUAAACAUGAUGCCUGAAUGUGAUAAUGAUGCUGUCUUUGAUUGUAUCUAACAUCUUGCUGGAAUUCGAAGUCAAGAAACUUAAUGCCUUGUUUGGAUGGAUUUUCAAAAAAAUUUGGGUUUGCUCUUUGGGAUAAUGAGUGGAGAGAGAAAUUAGGGUAAUAAUUAGAGAUAUGGAUAAUGAGUGGAGAGAUAGAGAGAGAAAUGAGAAUAAUGAUCAGAGAUAGGGGUAAUGAGUGGAGGGAGAAAUGAGAGUAAUGAUUGGAAGUAGGGGUAAUGAGUGUUUUUUGAGUUGGAAAAUAUUUUUCAAAUAGCCAUCCAAACAAGGCAUUAUCUUUUUGGCCACUAGUGUUAAGAUAUGAAGCUUUAAUGAUAGUAUCUAGCUAGGAGAUUGGUUUUUAUGUACAUUCAGUCGUCUGAAUCUGUGUUGCUCCAAAAAAAACAAAGGUCUUCUGCUUGUCUAUUUUAACUUUAUUUUUUCUUGAUCCGCCUAUUUUAACUUUAUUAGUAACAGUUGGGUCUAGUUCUACUUCCUAAUUUCUCUUCUUUUUUUGUUAUUUUGCUUGUUGUAGUAUACUUUGAAAAUUCAUUUAUUCCUUUAGUCGUUGAUGUUGUGGAUUCGACCCAAAACCACACAACACAAUCAAAUGAAGCAUAAUCAAGCAAAAACACUCAAAGAAAGCACGACACAAAGAUGUGCAUGGUUUCCCAAUUGGGUACAUGUACAUCCAUGGCUCACUCCAACUUUUUACUAUGCAUCGAAUGAAGGGGAGAGCAUAAGAUACACCAGCUGCUGCGUAGAUAUCCUAAGGUUUCACAUCACCAAUGACAGUAAUACCCUUGUUUCGGUGGAACCUAGUCAGAAUUCAUUCAGUGGCAAACCAAACCGAAUCAUACUUCACAAACCCAAUAGAAGUGUGUUAGCUAUAAAAGAGGAGAAAGUUAUUAGCCUCGAUGGGUGGGCGAAAAGUCCUUGGGAAUGUAUGGAAGGAAAUUGCUUUUGUUAUACGUUAAGUGCCUUGGGACUCUACGUAUCUUUUCUUUACAUUUGUUCAUUAGGUGGGCAGAAAAACUGACUGAUGGCAAGGAAAAAGCCUCAAGGGAAAUGUGCCUUUCCAUAUUUUCUUGGCAUUUUCCUGGCUUAACAACCCCCUGUUGGACUGUCUUUAGCAUGGCCAACAGGAAAAGGGCAUGUAACCAGAAAUGUGGUUGUGAAGAGAUGAUUUUAUCUUUGAUUUCUCCGGCACAGCUACUUUUCUUGUAUUAAGGUCAUAUUUCCUAAUUCCUACCAUGCUGCUGGAAUGAACUCUUGUUUUGUUGAGAUGAUCUCGCUAAUUUCAGCGUACAAGAUAUCCUGUAUCUACUUUGUUUAGAAGAACUACGAAAACGGUUGUAGUUAAAAUAAUAUGAUUCGUAUUUUAUCUUCUGAUUUGAACCAAUCUUGCUGCACUUCGGAAUCAAUUGUUGUUGAAGCUUAUACGACAGAGAAUCUUGAACAGUUAGUAAUUACACUAAACUAUAUUAGUCAAAGUGUCUGAUACCUAACAAAUGGGUUGUUUUUUCAUGCUUGUUUGUUGACUGUCCUGUCUUCUUUGUUGUUGUCUUUACAUCCUCCAAAUAAAAAAUCCUAAAGCCCUUGUUUGUGGGCUCUAUGGGAAAAUAUAGUAAUUUUUUCCUUCAUCCUUUUUGUUACUUUCGAGACUCCUUUUUAAGAUUGAGAGUGUGAUCUCUGCAGAAGAUUGCACAAGAAGUUGCUUUCCUCGCACUGUUUUUCUCAUGUGACUUUAUAAAGGCAACUUUGUAUGGUUUCGAACAUUCAAAAAUUUGGCAACAUCAAUGCAACCUAUGGGGGGAGAGAGAGAGAUUGGUUAAUAUAGCAAACACCUUACUCCAUUCUUGAUGUGACCAGUUCACAGGAUAAAAGAUUGAGAGUGUGAUCUCUGCAGAAGAUUGCACAAGAAGUUGCUUUCCUCGCACUGUUUUUCUCAUGUGACUUUAUAAAGGCAACUUUGUAUGGUUUCGAACAUUCAAAAAUUUGGCAACAUCAAUGCAACCUAUGGAGAGAGAGAGAGAGAGAGAGAUUAGUUAAUAUAGCAUACACCUUACUCCAUUCUUGAUGUGACCAGUUCACAGGAUAAAAGUGUUGUAUCAUUACGACCAACAACUAUUCUAGGUGUCUGUGACUGAGGGUGGUGUGAGCAGAUAUAGGGGUUAAUACGCCUGUAAUGUUAUUACUUUAGAUGGAGAUCUCAGGGCGCAUGGGAUGCUUUUGUUUACUCGACAGAAGAACCAGUUGCCAAGUAAGGUUCGAUAUCAAAAACCCAGCCUGCAGGAUUUUCUGAGAAAUGUGCGCAAGGGUUUGGGUUGCAGCCAAGUUUUGGAUCUGUGGUGAAAUUGAAGGUAAAAGAAGGUAGAGGAACAGUUGGCUUAUCAGAACUUUACAUUGGAAGGUUCAGGACUGACUUGCUUUUGCAAUAGAUUUUGGUUGUGAGGGUUUGUUUCUUGAUAUUUCGAUAGACGUAGACCUUGGGAAGUGUGUGUUAGAAGCGGGAGGGAAGGAGAUACUCUUUCCACUUGUUUGAUUUACAAGAAGACGAAGAAGGGAGGAUUGUGUCUCCUUCCCUGUGUUUGGUUUACCAAUAAUUGCAAAAGGAAAGUGACGGGGAUAAUAUGAUUUUACCUUUAUCUUGAAAAUCUUGUGUUAUUUAUCUUGUAAACACUUUUCGUUACAACGUCAUAACUUGUAUCACUGUACUUCCCCUCCAUCUCUUCCCACUUUUGAUGGUGAAGCGAUGUGCUAAAAAAGAUUAUACUCUUUCCCCUCUAUUCCCCUGACCCUUCUUUUGUUCUCCUACAGUCGUAAUCCAAGCAAAAAUCACCUCCAAAUCCUCACUUCCCCUUGAAAGUCCAAAAUCCUCCAUCCCAACUAUGGAUUAGGAUUAAAUCUUGCUAUAGAGAUUAUAAGGGAGUAGUUGGUAAAGGGACGAGGGUUAAAAGAUAGUCUCUUUAUAGAAUUUUUUUUUUCUUGUCGGGGAUACUCUUUUUACAGUUUGGUUGCAAUGUGCAAUGGCUUUGGUAAUUACUGGAAAGAAAGAAUCUUGUCUAUGCUCUUUAGGUUUCACCUUUGCAAACGGUUAGGCUUCACCCAUGGGGCUGGCAUUAGCAUUUUCCUCAUACUACAAAAUCAAGUUCUCCAAGUUCUGGUCUUGCUCCGUAGAGAUGCUGUAUAGUGAUACUGAGUUGUCGACUGUCUACUUAUGUUUGUCUACUAUGACUACAGAUAUCAUAGAACACUAACCAUGUAUCCGUAUGACAUUGUCUAGCGAA